UGAAAGAUCAAAAUUUAAUCCCAAGUCUAAAGCAUCUUCAGUUUUCACAGUUUCCAUAUCAAAAUCAACACUAACAUGUGAAUUCUCGACAGAAUCAAGAAUAUGUGAAUGCAUAAACAACUCAGGCAAAGCAAGUGGGAAUUCAAGUUUAGAGAAAACCUGUGUUGAUUCAUGAUUCAUCUCACCAAUAACAACGGAAUGAGCAACUGCAUCCUCAAGUGCAAGAGGGAAGGCAUAGGACGGUGGGGAAGUAGAUGGCGCAGUAGUAAGCUCAUGACUCUGCUCCCCAUCUCCUAUGUGGAUGACACCAACAUCGUCUGGAAGCUGAACAUCCUGAAAUGGGGAUUCCUCUGAAACAUG
rnacentral:lncRNA from 1 species